rnacentral:rRNA from 1 species
UACGUAGGGUGCAAGCGUUGUCCGGAAUUAUUGGGCGUAAAGAGCUCGUAGGCGGUCUGUCGCGUCUGCUGUGAAAACUCGGGGCUUAACCCCGGGCCUGCAGUGGGUACGGGCAGACUAGAGUGCGGUAGGGGAGACUGGAAUUCCUGGUGUAGCGGUGGAAUGCGCAGAUAUCAGGAGGAACACCGAUGGCGAAGGCAGGUCUCUGGGCCGCAACUGACGCUGAGGAGCGAAAGCAUGGGGAGCGAACAGG